rnacentral:rRNA from 1 species
AGUACUGACGCUGAGAUGCGAAGCGUGGGAGCAAACAGGAUUAGAUACCCUGGUAGUCACGCUGUAAACGAUGUCGAUUUGGAGUUUGGGGGCAUGUCCCUUGGGCUCCGGAGCUAACGCGUUAAAUCGACCGCUGGGGAGUACGGCCGCAAGGUUAAAACUCAAAUGAAUUGACGGGGGCCCGCACAAGCGGUGGAGCAUGUGGUUUAAUUCGAUGCAACGCGAAGAACCUUACCUGGUCUUGACAUCCAUAGAAUCUUUCAGAGAUGAGAGAGUGCCUUCGGGAGCUAUGAGACAGGUGCUGCAUGGCUGUCGUCAGCUCGUGUUGUGAAAUGUUGGGUUAAGUCCCGCAACGAGCGCAACCCUUAUCCUUUGUUGCCAGCGGUUCGGCCGGGAACUCAAAGGAGACUGCCGUUGAUAAAGCGGAGGAAGGUGGGGACGACGUCAAGUCAUCAUGGCCCUUACGACCAGGGCUACACACGUGCUACAAUGGCGUAUACAAAGGGAAGCGAAGGAGCGAUCUGGAGCGGACCUCCUAAAGUACGUCUAAGUCCGGAUUGGAGUCUGCAACUCGACUCCAUGAAGUCGGAAUCGCUAGUAAUCGUGAAUCAGAAUGUCACGGUGAAUACGUUCCCGGGCCUUGUACACACCGCCCGUCACACCAUGGGAGUGGGUUGCACCAGAAGUAGAUAGCUUAACCGAAAGGGGGGCGUUUACCACGGUGUGAUUCAUGACUGGGGUGAAGUCGUAACAAGGUAACCAAGGGCGAAUUCUG